AUUUAAAAAAUAAAAAUAAAAAAUAAAAAACUUACUUAAAUAUUUUUUUAUAAAAACUACAUUAGAACUAAUAAGAAUGAGAAUUUUUACAUUGAUAUCCAAUAAUAAAGAAGUCAUAGCUCAUAAAUAUAGUUUGUAUGGCUUUGGCUUAAAGCUUGAUUUGAAAUUCUUUUGGAAUAUACAAAUUUGUUGCGCAAUCUAAAAUUCAAGGAUGGAAUAGGUUUGGUUGUUGUUAAUAAAGAUUUAAAAAAAUUAUUGAAUUGAAUAAGGUUAAAGUAAAAUAUUAAUUCACAAUGUA
rnacentral:lncRNA from 1 species